UACGUAGGGUGCGAGCGUUAAUCGGAAUUACUGGGCGUAAAGCGUGCGCAGGCGGUGAUGUAAGACAGAUGUGAAAUCCCCGGGCUCAACCUGGGAACUGCAUUUGUGACUGCAUCGCUGGAGUGCGGCAGAGGGGGGAUGGAAUUCCGCGUGUAGCAGUGAAAUGCGUAGAUAUGCGGAGGAACACCGAUGGCGAAGGGCAAUCCCCUGGGCCUGCACUGACGCUCAUGCACGAAAGGCGUGGGGAGCAAACAG
rnacentral:rRNA from 1 species